UUUAGUGCUGUACCCAUAUUUUAGUGCCUAAAGUCUUCCCAGCAGAAUUGAGUUAUUCAAUGGGAAAAAAAUAUUUGCCUUAAAUCUGUUUCAUUAAACUAAUACUGAUUCCUGCCACCCCCCCUUAUAGGAUAUUUGGGAUAUACCAGUGGCCUUUCCUUGUUGUGUAUGGUGUUCUUUCUGAUUGUGGUCAUUUGCAAGAAAUUUCAGGUUCCGUGUCCUGUGGAAGCUGCUUUGAUAAUUAACGAAACAAUAAACACCACCUUAACACAGCCAACAGCUCUUGUACCUGAUUUGUCACAUAAUGUGACUGAAAAUGACGCUUGCAGACCUCACUAUUUUAUUUUCAACUCACAGACUGUCUAUGCUGUGCCAAUUCUGAUCUUUUCAUUUGUCUGCCAUCCUGCUGUUCUUCCCAUCUAUGAAGAACUGAAAGACCGCAGCCGUAGAAGAAUGAUGAAUGUGUCCAAGAUUUCAUUUUUUGCUAUGUUUCUCAUGUAUCUGCUUGCCGCCCUCUUUGGAUACCUAACAUUUUACGAACAUGUUGAGUCAGAAUUGCUUCAUACCUACUCUUCUAUCUUGGGAACUGAUAUUCUUCUUCUCAUUGUCCGUCUGGCUGUGUUAAUGGCUGUGACCCUGACAGUACCAGUAGUUAUUUUCCCAAUCCGGAGUUCUGUAACUCACUUGUUGUGUGCAUCAAAAGAUUUCAGUUGGUGGCGUCAUAGUCUCAUUACAGUGUCUAUCUUGGCAUUUACCAAUUUACUUGUCAUCUUCGUCCCAACUAUUAGGGAUAUCUUUGGUUUUAUUGGUGCAUCUGCAGCUUCUAUGUUGAUUUUUAUUCUUCCUUCUGCCUUCUAUAUCAAGU
rnacentral:sRNA from 1 species